rnacentral:hammerhead_ribozyme from 17 species
CAAGCGUCUGGGGUAAGGAGUCGCUGCCAUCAGCCCCACUGAUGAGUCUAGGCAGUGAUUGAUUCCGAGACGAAACGCAAA